UACGGAGGGAGCUAGCGUUGUUCGGAAUUACUGGGCGUAAAGCGCACGUAGGCGGCUUUGUAAGUUAGAGGUGAAAGCCCGGGGCUCAACUCCGGAACUGCCUUUAAGACUGCAUCGCUUGAAUCCAGGAGAGGUGAGUGGAAUUCCGAGUGUAGAGGUGAAAUUCGUAGAUAUUCGGAAGAACACCGGUGGCGAAGGCGGCAUCCUGGACCGGCAUUGACGCUGAGGCGGCGAAAGCUAGGGGAGCAAACGGG
rnacentral:rRNA from 1 species